UUGGUCUCUGUGUACAAAACAAAAGGAGGGGGGCAGGGGACAGCCAUCAAGCCCUCUUGAGCCUCCAGCUGAGUGGAAGCAGAUGGAAGAUCUUCAGGGCAGGGGGGAGGCUGGGGGAUAGGGUUUAGCAGCCUCCUCCCCCCAUACCCUCUGCAGCCCUGCACUCCCACACAUCUGUCCCUGCUGAUAGUGUCUAUUGGAAGGGAGGCAGUUAAUCUCCCCUACACUCUGUUGUUAAUCCCUGACAGCAGCUGGGACAGAGAUGGCAGGAAGGACCUAUGUCAACCCCAUGAGGCUUCUCCUUUGGGGCAGACAAACAGCCAGGAGCCUGGGGAAACAGGGAUGAGCGGGGCAUUGGUUUAGUACUUUCCCAAACUCAAUCCUAAACCUCAGCAUCUUCCACAGCCUAAGUCAACCCAAGACACCAAUCCAGCUCCAACCCUAGCCUCAAUCCAACUCGGCCCCCAAAACCUGCACCAUCCCCAAAUACAGGCCUUGCACCCAACCUCAGCCAGUACUAGCACCAUCACCAGCUCCAUGUCCAGCCUUAGCAUCAGUCAGGGGCACCAGCUCCUGCUUGGAUCUCUGCCACAAAACAGCCCCAGCCACAAACCCCAGCCCUAGCCACAAACCUCACCCCUUGGCCAGCUCCAAAGUCCAGCCUCAAGCCCUGGCAAAACCUUAAUCCUAGUAUCGGUCACCAGUAUACACUUAUCC
rnacentral:antisense_RNA from 1 species